CAGAAAAACCAAACCAACAGGCAAUUUAGUGGUGAGAAGCCAGACGGAUCAUUCUUCUGCCUGCAAAGGGGUUGGGAGCAGGGUGCUGUGAGUGUUCUUUGGAGGAGACAUCAUUCCUAGACCUGUCCAAAGGUGUGUGUGUGUGUGUGUGUGUGUGUGUGUGUGUGUGUGUACGUACGUACAAGUACAUAGGUGUUCAUUGCUGAAAGUGUUCCAAAGUAACCCAGAUGAGUGAAGCCACUAUAAUUAAGGAAGGCAUCCUGCUGAAGAUGUCCCAGCAGAAAAAGAAAAUAUCUCCUAGGAACUAUAAAGUGCGACUCUUCGUUCUCACCAGCCAGGCACUGAUUUACUACGAAGAGGAAAAGGGGAAGAAAAAGAGAAAAAAAGGGUCAAUUCUGACAGAAAGUGUCUACUGUGUGGAGAAAGUUGAGCCAGAGAAGAAUGCACCUGUAGAAAGAAAGUUCCCUUUUCAGAUUGCAUAUGAUGAAUGCAUCCUGUACAUGUUUGCAAAGGAUGAUGCAAAUAGGACAGAAUGGUUAGAGGCUGUGAUGCAAGUAAUAAGGGGUAAUGACAAGCUGUCUGCAAAAUACCACAAAGGAUUCUGGGUUGACGGAAUAUUCCUAUGCUGUGGUCAGACUGUAAAGAAUUCACCAGGCUGCAGUGACUGGGACAAAGAAUCAAGGAAGCUCAGAGCAACUAGUCGAAAUAUUGCAUUACCUCCUGUGCCAUCUGCAAAGCUCCGAGACAGAAUUCAACUUCCUCCCAUCCCAGAAGAUGAAGGCUGUGCUUGUGUGGAGGUUGUGGCUCUGUAUAACUACACUGCCAGGAAGCCUGGAGAGCUAAAUCUAGUGAAGGGCAACAGAUAUGUCUCUCUGCAAAAGGCGUCAGGAGACUGGUGGAAAAUCAAAGACACAGCUGGAGCUGAAGGAAUUGUCCCUUGUAAUUACAUAAAGGAAGUGGAAACCAAGAAAAGUGACAAGGAUGAAAUGUCCAGGACGUCCAAAAGGGAGAGACCCAGCAAAAUAAAAUCACAUUUGAGCCACUCCCUGGAUGAACACAUAGAGGACUAUCCCUGGUAUGUAGGCAACAUGUCUCGAGUAAAGACUGAGCAGCUACUACGCGAGAAGGGUAAAGAAGGAUCAUUUGUGGUCAGAAAUUCCAGUCAAAAAGGAGUAUACACAGUAUCGCUCUUUAGUCGAGCACUAGACGAAGUGAAUGGGACUGUAAGGCAUUAUCUCAUUAAUGUCAAUGCAGAAGGGCUGUAUUAUGUGGCAGAGAACCACCUGUUUGAUUCGAUCCCCCAAAUGAUCGAGUACCAUCAACAUAAUGGUGCAGGCCUGCUGACAAGAUUGAGGUUUCCUGCUACAGAAAGUGAUCUCACAUCUCAGUCUACACAGGGUGUGUGGGAGCUGAGUCGAAAAGACAUGCAUCUGGUGAAAGAGCUAGGCAGUGGCCAGUUUGGAGUGGUCCAACUCGGCGUGUGGAAGAACAAACACCAGGUGGCCAUUAAGAUGGUGAAGGAGGGCUGCAUGUCGUCUGAUGAAUUUAUCGAGGAAGCCAGGAACAUGAUGAAACUCAGGCAUCCUAAGCUUGUGAGGCUCCAUGGUGUGUGUACCGAGUGUUUUCCCAUCUACAUUGUGACAGAGUUCAUGAGUAAUGGCUGUCUGCUGGAGUACCUGAGGCAUCAAGGGAAAGAGCUGCAGCAUCAGUGUCUCCUUACCAUGUGCCUGGACGUGUGUGAGGCCAUGGCUUACCUCGAGGAUCAGCAGUUCAUUCACAGAGAUCUAGCUGCGAGGAACUGUUUGGUAGAUAAUGAUCUAUCUGUCAAAGUGUCUGACUUUGGAAUGGCAAGAUAUGUACUGGAUGAUCAGUACACCAGUUCUGCAGGUACAAAGUUUCCUGUGAAAUGGUCAGCCCCUGAGGUUCUGACCUACACCAGGUUUAGCAGCAAGUCCGAUGUGUGGGCAUUUGGUUCGUCUCUUUUCACUUAACACAUUUUCCAUGAUGUAUACCCUCCUGCUAUUCUUUCGACGUUUGCUUUUGUCUCACCACCAAAUCACACUUCCAACAAAGUCUAAAGUUGUAUCCUUUAGCUGGUGUGUUCUGUGAUCAGAUGAGAUGCAUUAGCCUUUGAGUUGUGAUAAAAUUGGAAAUAAUAAUUCAAAUGGUUUCAACCAGGGCUGUUUCUAAAACUGAAAAAAAGGGCUGUUCUAAUUGUUCCCUUUUUAGUGUCUGUAUAAUAACCUGAGAAAACCCUUCACAGGGCCCAAUUUUUACAUUUUCUACAAUAUAAACUUGUGAAAUGUCUCUUUUUUUCCGCAUGGAUCACAAUGCCAAUCAACUUAAACUCUAGUUACUCUGAAAACUGAAAAUUCACAGGUAAAAGAUUCAAUUCCAGUGAAAGACACCCUGCCUGUGCAUCUACUUAUGGAAAACAUUACUGCCAAAUUGUAAAGAAACAUGCGCUUCCAGUGAGAAAGAAGUUCUUAAUUAAGUUCUUACAUUAACAUACAAAAGCACAGUUGCAAAUCAGAAACACCUUUGACAAAAUAUCUUCAUUGUCAUGUUCCAAUUAAUGAUCUAUGACUUAGGAUGUUGCUGCAUUGUUACAGAUUGGUUUUUCAAGAGGCUUCUUAGCAGAGGCUUCUGUGAAGGGUGAGCUGGGCCCUUUAAACUAUAUGCUAAAAUGCUAAUAUCAGCCAGCCUGCACACUUGAGACACCGGACACUAAUAGGGAUGUUAACCGAUGACCGUUUGACCGAUGGUUGACCGAAUCAACGUCAACCGGUUAAUUUUUUUUUUGGUUGUCAGUUAAAAAAAAAAUCAAUCGUUUUGAAGCUGCCGAUUUUGGAGCGGAGAACCUGGAAUUCUGUGUUGUAAACGCUUGGGGCAUGCCAUGCGGUGUAAGGACGACAGCUGACAAAUCAGAAACACCCAUUCAGUCAUGUCCCGCCCUCCCGCCCCAGUUGAAGACAGCUGCCACUCGGCGAAAGAAAAAAGUCUCAGUAUUGGAUUACAUUUUACUACAUAACAUCAAGGAAAUUCUUGACUAUCAAAGAAACAAGAACACGGCGCAUGAAUGAAGUCGAUGGUUGAUUAGUCUGGUGAAUAUUAAUGUCAAUGUAAUAAUAAUACACAAGAUCUGAACUAAAACCUGGUUACUCACUGAUGUUACUUAGCAUCAGAUAGUUGCUAUAUUAGCUUAGCGGCUAAUCAGCUCAGCUCCAGCUAUCCCAUUCCCAAUGGCUGUGCACAAUUAGCAGCCAUGUAACCGUAAUGUCAGUAGCUGGAAAACAAUUGCAGUAUGAGGUCUCUGUGGCUCACUUCGAAGAAAAGUGCCUAGUCCGUAGCAGUAUGCAAUAUCAACACAUAGCCUACUGCAGUUAACUGUAAACACCAGGGUCCGUAUCGCUAAAAUGUCCUAUCUUCAAUGAAAAGUUAAGAUGGGACAAGUGUAUGAUAGGAUUGUUUUCAAUAGGUUACUCAAUGCAAGCACCUGUAGUGACUAAGCUAAAGCUUGCCGCUUAGAAAAUGACGGCAAUUUAUUGAGAACAUGUUCACACUGAUAUUUUUAAUGCCAAGAUGCAACUUAACAAAAGUGCAUGCCCCUUGCUGACACGGCCGCAGACACAGACCCGGGUGGAGAAGGACAAGGAGGAGGGGUCGAGGGGGGAUUUCACGCUUCUCACGAUGUCUCUAAGCUGGGGCCAUUUGUCCUCCGCUCCAAUACAAACCCCUCGACAUCAGUGCUGUGUUUGACUAAAUGUUUCGCGCUGUAGAAAAGGGGUGCUGAUGUGGGAGGUGUACAGUCUGGGGAAGCAACCCUAUGAGCACUAUGAUAAUGCAUGUGUAGCGAAGAGAGUAAUGCAAG